GCAUGCCUAACACAUGCAAGUCGAACGAACCCUUUUGGGUUAGUGGCGCACGGGUGCGUAACGCGUGGGAACCUGCCUUUAGGUUCGGAAUAACACUUAGAAAUGACUGCUAAUACCGGAUAAUGUCUUCGGACCAAAGAUUUAUUGCCUUUAGAUGGGCCCGCGUUGGAUUAGAUAGUUGGUGGGGUAAUGGCCUACCAAGUCGACGAUCCAUAGCUGGUCUGAGAGGAUGAUCAGCCACACUGGGACUGAGACACGGCCCAGACUCCUACGGGAGGCAGCAGUGGGGAAUAUUGGACAAUGGGCGAAAGCCUGAUCCAGCAAUGCCGCGUGAGUGAUGAAGGCCUUAGGGUUGUAAAGCUCUUUUACCAGGGAUGAUAAUGACAGUACCUGGAGAAUAAGCUCCGGCUAACUCCGUGCCAGCAGCCGCGGUAAUACGGAGGGAGCUAGCGUUGUUCGGAAUUACUGGGCGUAAAGCGCACGUAGGCGGCUUUUCAAGUCAGGGGUGAAAUCCCGGGGCUCAACCCCGGAACUGCCCUUGAAACUGGAUGGUGGUGAGAUGUUGGGUUAAGUCCCGCAACGAGCGCAACCCUCGUCGUUAGUUGCCAUCAUUUAGUUGGGCACUUUAAGGAAACAGCCGGUGAUAAGCCGGAGGAAGGUGGGGAUGAAGUCAAGUCCUCAU
rnacentral:rRNA from 1 species